UUCACAGUCUCGAGUUUGAAGAUGUGCACGGUCUCCGUGUUGCUGGAGGCGGAGAGGAACAUGCCGUCCAUGCUGAAGGCCAGGGAGCAGAUGCUCACGCACCUGGGGAGACGUGCAGGUCAGGGCGGGCCAAAGGAGCCAGCGGCUGCCCCAGGGGCUCAACUCAAGUGGCAGAGAAGAGUUCCUGUCACGGGCACACUUGGGCCUGCUGGUGACAAAAGGAAUCGGGAUUUCACUAAACCACUUUUAGCCGCAUUAGGAUGGAUUUCUAGUCCUAAGACCCUGCACUUGACAGAUCUGCUGGCCCCUCCCAGAUCAAUCAACUGGCUCAUCUGAUCCCGUGGCCCCUACCCAGGAACUGACUGAAUGCAAGAAGACAGCUCCAAUUCCCUGUGAUUUCAUCUCUGACCCAUCAGCACUCCUGGCUCACUGGCUUCCCCCCACCCAAGUUAUGCUUAAAAACUGCUCCCCAAAUGCUCAGAGACACUGAUCUGAGUAAUAAUAAAACUCCAGUCUCCCACACA